rnacentral:rRNA from 1 species
AUUGAACGCUGGCGGAAUGCUUUACACAUGCAAGUCGAACGGCAGCACGGGCUUCGGCCUGGUGGCGAGUGGCGAACGGGUGAGUAAUGCAUCGGAACGUACCCAUUUGUGGGGGAUAACUACGCGAAAGCGUGGCUAAUACCGCAUACGCCCUGAGGGGGAAAGCGGGGGGAUUCUUCGGAACCUCGCGCAAUUGGAGCGGCCGAUGUCAGAUUAGCUUGUUGGUGAGGUAAAGGCUCACCAAGGCGACGAUCUUUAGGGGGCCUGAGAGGGUGAUCCCCCACACUGGUACUGAGACACGGACCAGACUCCUACGGGAGGCAGCAGUGAGGAAUAUUGGUCAAUGGGUGCAAGCCUGAACCAGCCAUCCCGCGUGAAGGACGACUGCCCUAUGGGUUGUAAACUUCUUUUGUAUAGGGAUAAACCUACCCUCGUGAGGGUAGCUGAAGGUACUAUACGAAUAAGCACCGGCUAACUCCGUG